ACUUUUGUGACUCGCAAAGGUAUCCUUCGUCCCGCCGGGGCGGAGGAUAAGAGGGAAUCGGGUGCGAAUCCCGGACAGUUCCCGCUGCUGUAUGCACUUCAAUGCCGCAGGCGAAUCGUCGAGCCACUGUCCCGCGGGGGACGGGAAGGCCGCCUGCGGGUCGGUGCGAGUCAGAAGACCUGCCUUUGCGCAUGCAAUGUC
rnacentral:ncRNA from 2 species